GGGCUAAUGCCUUUAAUUCUUGUCUUCCAG
rnacentral:piRNA from 1 species